rnacentral:rRNA from 1 species
UGGGGAAUAUUGGACAAUGGGGGCAACCCUGAUCCAGCGAUGCCGCGUGAGUGAAGAAGGCCUUCGGGUCGUAAAGCUCUUUAGGUUGGGAAGAAGUGCGUAUGGUGAAUAACCAUGCGUGUUGACGGUACCGACAGAAUAAGCACCGGCAAACUCUGUGCCAGCAGCCGCGGUAAUACAGAGGGUGCGAGCGUUAAUCGGAGUUACUGGGCGUAAAGGGCGCGUAGGCGGUUAUGUAUGUGUGAUGUGAAAGCCCCGGGCUUAACCUGGGAAGUGCAUCGCAAACUGCAAGACUAGAGUAUAUGAGAGGGUGGCGGAAUUUCCGGUGUAGCGGUGAAAUGCGUAGAGAUCGGAAGGAACGUCAAUGGCGAAGGCAGCCACCUGGCAUAAUACUGACGCUGAGGCGCGAAAGCGUGGGUAGCGAACAG